rnacentral:rRNA from 1 species
UACGGGGGGAGCAAGCGUUGUUCGGAUUUACUGGGCGUAAAGGGCGCGUAGGCGGCCAGCACAAGUCAGUUGUGAAAUCUCCGAGCUUUAACUCGGAAAGGUCAACUGAUACUGUGCGGCUAGAGUGCAGAAGGGGCAACUGGAAUUCUUGGUUGUAGCGGUGAAAUGCGUAGAUAUCAAGAGGAACACCUGCGGCGAAGGCGGGUUGCUGGGCUGACACUGACGCUGAAGCGCGAAAGCCAGGGGAGCGAACGGG